GUUUGAAUAGUUUAAUGGUAAAACCUUAAUCUCAUACGUUAAAGAUAUAAGUUCGAUUCUUUUUUCAAACU
rnacentral:tRNA from 2 species